rnacentral:rRNA from 1 species
UACGUAGGGUGCGAGCGUUGUCCGGAAUUAUUGGGCGUAAAGAGCUCGUAGGCGGUCUGUCGCGUCGAUCGUGAAAACUUGGGGCUUAACCCUGAGCUUGCGGUCGAUACGGGCAUGACUGGAGUUCGGCAGGGGAGACUGGAAUUCUUGGUGUAGCGGUGAAAUGCGCAGAUAUCAGGAGGAACACCGGUGGCGAAGGCGGGUCUCUGGGCCGAUACUGACGCUGAGGAGCGAAAGCGUGGGGAGCGAAUGGG